rnacentral:rRNA from 1 species
AUGCCUGCUGUGAUUGUUCAUGCUGAGUUUGUUCAAUAUGAUUUGAAGAGAGAGAGAGAGAUUGUUCAGACUUCAGAGACGAAGAGCAGCAGCGUCCAAGAGGUGCGUGAGGAUCAACUGUCCGACAUCAGCGGCCAGGCGGCGUCUAACAACGAGGCAUCCAACACCUCCUCCCGCCCCAAGCUCGCCCUCGACCUGUCGCUCACCGUCACCGCCGCCGACACCACAACCGCAAAAUCGAGCACCACCGACAGGACCGGCGGCGGGUGUUCACGUGCAACUACUGCCAGGGGAAGUUCUUCAGCUCGCAGGCGCUGGGCGGGCACCAGAACGCGCACCGGCGGGAGCGCACGCUGGCCGGCGUGCGGUGCACCAGCUCGAGGCCUACCCCUACGGCUACGCCGAUGUGGCCUCCCUCCAGCUCUAUGGCUCGCUCGUGCUGUAUCCCAUCGGCAUCAAGGCGCACGCGCUGGUGCACCCUGCGGCGGCGCAGGCGGAGCGGCAGCAAGGAAGCCGCCUCCCUUGCUGCGCCGCGGGCGUUGCUGGGCCCGAUGCCGUUCCUCAUGGGUGGCGACGAGGAGGUCAGCUUCGGGUGCCCCGACAGCUUUAGGCCACCACCGGCGUGCUCCCUCUCCUCCACUCCGGCCACAACCUGGGGCUUGGGCAGCAGCGGCAAGCCGACGAGGAGCCUGA